rnacentral:rRNA from 1 species
AUACGGAGGGUGCAAGCGUUAUUCGGAAUCACUGGGCGUAAAGGACGCGUAGGCGGGUUGGCAAGUCAGAUGUGAAAUCCUACAGCUUAACUGUAGAACUGCAUUUGAAACUGCUAACCUAGAGUAUGAGAGGGGGAGAUGAAAUUAGUGGUGUAGGGGUAAAAUCCGUAGAUAUCACUAGGAAUACCGAAAGCGAAGGCGAUCUCCUGGAAUAUAACUGACGCUAAGGCGUGAAAGCGUGGGGAGCAAACAGAAUUAGAAACCCUAGUAGUCC